ensembl:lncRNA
UUGGAUACUAUCCACUAGAAUAAAUAAUUCUUAAAUUGUUCUCAUUAUCUAGGCGAAUAUACUUGAUUGCAGUGUAUGUUGCCUAACAUAAGUCCUUGUUUGGAGCUGAUAAUACUAGCAUAUGUUGAAUAAAAGGUAUAUUUUCCUAUAUAUCAAGAAAACUAUUCUUAAAUUUGGUUUGCUUAUCUAGACAAAUGUACUUGUUUGAAGUUUGGCUGUACUGACUUUAAGAUAUAUUUACUUGCAUGAAACCUUAUUUGAAGAUGAUGGCACUAGCAUAUGCUGAUUUUAAGCACAUUGUCCUACAUAUUGAGAAAAUAAUUCUUAAAUAUUUUCCUUGAACCAAUACAAAUCUACUUGUUGUUAGUCUAAACACACUAGUUUUAAGAUAUCCCUGGGUUUUUAAGGCUAGAUAUAUUCACUUGUUUUUAAAAAUCUUGUUAAGUCAAAUCUUCCUGUUCUGUUGGCAGAUAAUUUUGCUUAUUUUAAGUAAUAUAUUCCUCAUUUUAUUACUUUUUUUUCUUAUUUUUUCGCUCCAAAAUAAGUAGGCUACAGGCAAUAGGCAGAGAUACGGACGCAGUAAGGUAUUGCAGUAAUACGGGUGAUUGAAAUUGACAUUUAAACCACCAAAGUGGUCCAAGCACAAUGAAAACAGUUCAUACUUCAAGUCACAAUGAUGAGAUGAGAUGAGAUGGCGAGUUCGAAUGGAUAUUAAAACGCAGCAUUAUGCCGCUUUUCCACUGCAUGGUACCAGCUCGACACGACUCGACUCGACUCGACUCAGCUCGCAUUUUUUGCGUUUCUACCGCGAAAACAUGGUAUCUGGUACCUGAAGUGGCUGCUUUUUCUAGUACCGCCUUGCUCUAGGUUCCAAGCGGCUGAGCCGAUGCUAAAAGGUGACGUCGGCAGACGGCCGGCCACUGAUUGGCCAGAGAGUGUGAUGAAGUCACGAGAGCGACAUGGCAACCAUGCUGGUAACAGCCAUAGCAGCGCCGCAGCCAACAUAUUCCACUUCUUCAACUUCUUCAACAUGCCAGCUAAUAAUAGUAAUGUUAUCGAUGUCCUCCAUUGUUGUUAUGUGGGUUAUCUCCAUGUGUGGGUUGCGUAGGUGUUGUUUGCGUCGCGUACAAAAAUACGUCACGGCCCUUUCGCGCAGCCGACCCCGCCCACGUCCAGGAGGUACUAUUUGCGGUGGAAAACGACCCGUGCUGCUGCCGUGUCGAGUCGUGUCGAGUCGAGUCGAGUCGAGCUACAUGUGCGGUGGAAAAGCGGCAUUAGUUUCUGCUGGUGAAGUCCCACCCACUGGCACUGCUCUAAUAGGUCUGUAGCGUCAGUGGGCCCCACCCCCUAUAGGGGGGUGGGACUAGUGCUUGUAGUCUCACGAGAAUCCUCCCUCUUACACUUCCUAUUUACUUCUACGCAAAAAUCGUCAUAUUGUGUCAUCUUAAACAGGAAGUGUUGGAGAUCGAUAUGGAUCUCUCCAGUCUCUCCAGAAAAUAAGGGAAUGAUGCACGACCAUUCAAAAAUAUGACUUGCAUAACGGAGCACCAGGCAUAGUUUAAUAGUGCAUUUCUUUUUUGAACAGCACAUCCGAUCAAUGACCUCUGUAAUUUUUGUACAUUUAAAUGUAUGCCCAUCACUAACUGAGUUUAGCUUUAUCUAUUAUUACUUUUAUUUCCUUCCCUUCUUUUCUUAAUGUUAUGUGUAUUUUGUUUUUAAGAUAAAUCAAGAGAAACCCAAACAUAUCUUAUGGUCUCGUAUGUAUGUAAAUGUUUCAUAUAUUUAUGUGUUUUUUUCAUGUUGUGACUGUCUGAGUUUGUGAUGUGAGUCUUUGUUCUAUGUUCCCACUCUUGGCCUGCACCUUGACGUGAUCCCAGUCCAUCAUGCUCCUGUACUUGUCUGCCGUGCCACCAUCAUGCCUCAUGCAUCACCUCUCAGCGCCCUGCCCAGCUGCAUCUUAUUCCGUUACUCCAGCUCUUUCCAGCUCCUUCACAUAAGUGACAAACACGCUCCACCCAAGUGUUUUUAAUAUUUUAUUAAUUAUGCUUAAGGUGUGCUUAAGUGGCCUGAAAGGGGCCCAUCAAUAAAAUGCUUUUUAUUGAUGUAACAUUAUGGCUCCAUCAAAAGCAAAGUACACCUGCCAUUUAACUAUCAUUUAUACUAUCAUUUAUACUAUCCUAGACAUCUUUAAUCGUAUUUACAUAGGCCUACAGUAGGCCUGAUUUCCUCUGAAUGUUUAAAUAAAAAAGUUCCCUGUCCAUGUCAGAUCCCUGUCCAUCAUACUCCUGUUGUUGUCUUCCUGCACACCUGACUGCCUCCUCCAUCGAUUGCGGCCACAGCCCUCUCCCUGUACAAUAUUUCAUGUUAAAUACAUUUCAGGAUCAAGUUUGAGAUUCAGUUUCAGUAUUACUUGUUUUUGAAACCUGACGUGGGGCUGGCACCGCCACCAUCAUAUCAGUCUUAUUUAUAGCACCCACACAGGUGUGUGCCGUCCAUAUGGGCAGGUGGGGCGGCGAACUCCCUGCAUGCUCCCAAAAAAAUGUGUUCCUCAGUAAAUCAUUACUCCAAGUUGAUAAUGUGAUUGUCAGAUUAACUAUCUAUAGUUUCUGUAGGCUUUCCGACUAUUUUUGGUCUGUUGAUAUCAAAUUGAUGGGGGCGAUUCUAGUUGAGUUUAACGAGUCAUGCAAUGUGGGGCAGGGGAGCUCAACGACCGUGUCCCUCCGUAUGUUUCACGCAUAACCCGGCAGGCUGCAAUAAGAAUUGCAAUCCGCACUAUAAGACGCCCAUAUGGUCGUAAAGUAGUCUGCCCCAUGGUCAUAUUGUAGGACUGUUGUUUAAAAUCGAAUUACUAAGCCUGUAUCUUUCGGCAUUGAAGCCUAUUUAUUUAUUUAUUUCAGCAGGUAUUAAAAUUGCAUACCUGAUUUCAUACCUGAUUUAAACAGCUGUUAUUGAGAAAUAUCUGAUUUCAAAACUGUUGUUAUUGAGAGAUUUGCACACAUCGUCGGGCCAAGUUCCAAAUCGAAGGUCUGCUUGAUUGAUGACUUGUAUUUCUACUUUUCAUGUAUUUGCAAUGCACUCGCUAAGCCUGUUGUUAAAUUGUUGUUAGAUUGUUAAAAUAAAAUAUGGAAGAAAUAACUUCCCUACAAUGUCGAAUUUGUCCUUUGAAAUUUUUGACUUUGCAGAGUUGGUGUUUCCAUUGCACAU